rnacentral:rRNA from 1 species
UACGGAGGGGGCGAGCGUUAUUCGGAAUUAUUGGGCGUAAAGGGCGCGUAGGCGGCCUUGUAAGUCAAAGGUGAAAUCCCUCGGCUCAACUGAGGAACUGCCUUUGAAACUGCAAGGCUUGAGGCCGGGAGGGGGUAGCGGAAUUCCCAAUGUAGCGGUGAAAUGCGUAGAUAUUGGGAGGAACACCAGUGGCGAAGGCGGCUACCUGGACCGGUACUGACGCUGAGGCGCGAAAGCGUGGGUAGCAAACAGG